GGAGGGGUGGCCGAGUGGUUGAAGGCGCCAGUCUUGAAAACUGGAGUACCCGCAAGGGUACCGUGAGUUCGAAUCUCACCCCCUCCG
rnacentral:tRNA from 1 species